AUACCAGCACCCCGAGUGGUCGGGACGAUUAUUGGGCCUAAAGCAUCCGUAGCCGGUUCUACAAGUCUUCCGUUAAAUCCAUCUGCUUAACAGAUGGGCUGCGGAGGAUACUAUAGAGCUAGGAGGCGGGAGAGGCAAGCGGUACUUAGUGGGUAGGGGUAAAAUCCGUUGAUCCAUUGAAGACCACCAGUGGCGAAGGCGGCUUGCCAGAACGCACUCGACGGUGAGGGAUGAAAGCUGGGGGAGCAAACCGGAUUAGAUACCCGUGUAGUCC
rnacentral:rRNA from 1 species